AUUGAACGCUGGCGGCAGGCCUAACACAUGCAAGUCGAACGGUAACAGGAAGCAGCUUGCUGCUUUGCUGACGAGUGGCGGACGGGUGAGUAAUGUCUGGGAAACUGCCUGAUGGAGGGGGAUAACUACUGGAAACGGUAGCUAAUACCGCAUAACGUCGCAAGACCAAAGAGGGGGACCUUCGGGCCUCUUGCCAUCGGAUGUGCCCAGAUGGGAUUAGCUAGUAGGUGGGGUAACGGCUCACUUAGGCGACGAUCCCUAGCUGGUCUGAGAGGAUGACCAGCCACACUGGAACUGAGACACGGUCCAGACUCCUACGGGAGGCAGCAGUGGGGAAUAUUGCACAAUGGGCGCAAGCCUGAUGCAGCCAUGCCGCGUGUAUGAAGAAGGCCUUCGGGUUGUAAAGUACUUUUCAGCGGGGAGGAAGGCGAUAAGGUUAAUAACCUUGUCGAUUGACGUUACCCGCGAAGAAGCACCGC
rnacentral:rRNA from 1 species